CCCGGCGGUUCAAGUUUCUGCGCCCGGAGGACGCGGCCUUGGCCAAUCCCUGGGCUACAGGGCGCUUUUAAAAUGCAGGUGGUUCCCGUGGCCUGCAUCUCAGUCCUGGGUCUCUCCAGGGCCGGCAGCUUCAGCUGAACUUUCCAAGAGAAAAACGAAGCCUGCAUCUACAUAGGGGUGAAUGCACGACCCUUCAGCACAUGACCAAUUGAAUCUGAGCCCCUCAUUUUGAAGAUGAGGCAACUGAGCCCCAGGAGGCAAAUGACUUGCCCAAGGUCACUUUCGUUCAUUGGUUUACUGAACACACAAACAUAAUUAGUAAUCUCUACUCCCAACAUGGGGCUCAAACUCAUGACCCCAAGACCAAGAGUCGAAUGCUGUACUGACUGAACCAGCCGGGCAACCCCUGAGUUGAAUCUUGAAGACUCAGAUGACCAUGUGAACUUACGGGUGAUGACCAGAGGCGUGUGGACAUGAAAGGACUCUGGUACGGAUAGCCGGGGGAAGGUUGCCCAAUGGCUGAAUGUUUCUGCAGGCCAGCACAGCGAUGGUGACUGACCGGGCCUGGGGCCGGAUUCUGGGGUUUCUUCUCUGGCCCCCCUGGGGGACCCUGUAAGAGGGGAGUCACCAUGUAGGGCUGAAAGACCUCCAUGCCUAAGAAAUCAGGGCCCAUGGAAAAGCGGCCAUAAUUGUUUUUAUUAAAAGAUUAUAUAUUUAUUUGAGAGAGAGCAUGGGGAGGGGAGGGGCAGCGGGAGAAGGAGAAGCAGACUUCCGGCAGAUUGAGCCCCUUUGGUUCCUAGGGUGGAAGGCCCCAUUAGGGACCAAUUGGGAGAUAUCUGCAUCUGCACCACUCCCUUCCCAGCUAGAGCCACUGAAAUUCCCUCCUCCCCCUUCAGCUGCUGACAUCCCCUCAUACCAUUGCCCUGAGGAGCAAGGUAGGAAGGAGGCUCAACAGCAAGGGAAACUGAGUCAGGGAGCUCUUUGCAAGACUACCUCUUACCUUAACACACUUAAAAACAUUAUUCUUGGGGCACCUGGGUGGCACAGUCAGUUAAGUGGCUGCCUUUGGCUCAGGACAUGGUCCCAGAGUCCCAGGAUCGAGCCCUGCAUCAGGCUCCUUACUCAGCAGGGAGCCUGCUUCUCCCUCUCCCUCUGCACCCCUGCUCAUGCUCUCUCUCUCUCAAAUAAAUAAAUAAAAUAUUAAAAAACACACAUUAUUCUUAUUAGGAACUAUUUUAGGGGCACCUCACUGGCUCAAUCAGUUUGAGCUCCACGUUGGGUGUAGAGAUUACUUAAAAAUAAAAUCUCGAAAAAAAUAAAUGAGAAUUUUCAAAAAUAAAAUCUUAAAAAUAAAGUUAAAAAAAGGAACUGUUUUUAUAUUAUAACAAACAGGGACACAGCAGGUGCCUGGCAGGCACUGCCCAGCGUAGGAAGUCACUGCCACUUUUGAAGGCCCCUGGGGCUCCUUUUGGUCACAUGCCCCAGCCCACCUGACCCCAUGAUUCUGAAUGUUGCAUUAAUUAUUCCAUCAGCAUACUAUAUUUCCCCCUUAUAAUAGACCGCUUGAUGUUCAUGCUUUUGAACCUUAUUUAAGCUGUAUUGUGCUUCCUGUGUUCUUUGGCAACAUGCUUCUCCCUCAUUAUUUCCCUGAUGCGCGGAAGCUAUAGUUCGCUCACUUGCGUGGCUGUGUAGCAAGGUUGACAUCUUGUCUUUGGCAUGGGGACAGAGGAGGACUGUCUUGUGCAUCGUAGGAUGGUUACCAGCAUCCCUGGCCUCUAUCCAUUGGAUGGAAGUAGCACCCCCACCCCUAGUUGCAAGAGUUGAAAUUAUCUCCAGACCUUGCCAAAUGGCUCCCAGGAGCAAGAUCACCCUCAGUUGAGAAUCUCUUCUAAUAUCCAUUGCAUGAAUAUGUCACUUUUACUUUCCUCUUGAAGGACAUUGGUUUCUCAUGUUUUGCAAUAAACAGCAAUGCCGCCAUAGACAUUCUGGUAUGGUCCUGAUGUACAUGAGCUUGAACUUUGAGUCUAGACCAAGACACAGAGUGGCAGGGUCAUAGGACUCAAUGGCUUCAGGUCGACUGGAUGAGGCCAAACCGCUUCCCAAAGAGGUGGUGCUAACUUACAAUCCGGCCAGCAGGGUAUAGAAUGCUGUCACUCUGGUGGGCGAACCUCCGUGUGCUUUCCACACCCACUCUGCCUCCCUCAGGCUGUCAGAGCACAAGAGAAGCCCAGGCCAAAUUUCAUACUGGAGGUGCCUACUCUAUUAGGAAACAAAACAAAACAAACAAAAAACAGAAGAGGAAACAGUGGAGCAGGUUUAAACACUUGUAACUUACUUGAAAUGUUUGUAUUUAUGGAACUGAUGCAGGUACAAUGCAACAUUGUGGGAUAAUUAGAGGGCUUACUGCUGGUGAUAAGUUCCAGGUCCCAGACACUGCGUCUCUGAGCCCAGCUGCGUAUCCCUGGGACUAUCACCUCCAU